AUUGAACGCUGGCGGCAUGCUUUACACAUGCAAGUCGAACGGCAGCACGGGGCAACCUGGUGGCGAGUGGCGAACGGGUGAGCAAUGCAUCGGAACGUACCUUUCAGUGGGGGAUAACGUAGCGAAAGUUACGCUAAUACCGCAUAUUCUGUGAGCAGGAAAGCAGGGGAUCGCAAGACCUUGCGCUGAUUGAGCGGCCGAUGUCAGAUUAGCUAGUUGGUGAGGUAAAGGCUCACCAAGGCGACGAUCUGUAGCGGGUCUAAGUGGAUGAUCCGCCACACUGGAACUGAGACACGGUGCAGACUCCGACGGGAGGCAGCAGUGGGGAAUUUUGGACAAUGGGGGCAACCCUGAUCCAGCCAUGCCGCGUGAGUGAAGAAGGCCUGCGGGGUGUAAAGCUCUUUCGGCCGGGAAGAAAUCGUAUCAGCUAAUACCUGGUGCGGAUGACGGUACCGGCAUAAGAAGCACCGGCUAACUACGUGCCAGCAGCCGCAGUAACAC
rnacentral:rRNA from 1 species